rnacentral:lncRNA from 1 species
GGCACCGCUGGCUCUGCUGCUGUGACUUUUCUACUGGGGAUCGAGGGUUCGCCCUCCUCUCUAACCUUUGCUCAGGUUUCCGUGACGACGUCUGGCUAGCCUGGAUCCUGCUUGAGCUUGGUUUUCUACUGAGUGGUAGGUACAACUCAGACUAGUGGAUCUAUGCUCCGCCUUUUUUUUUUAAGUCAAGAUGUCGCCUAUUGAGACACCGACGUGCUCACCAUGUAUGUACUUAUCAGAAACACUCAAGCACCAUGGAUGGAAUAUAUAAAGGCCCCUCUGCAUAUUAACUUGGUUAACCCUCACUUCAGGAUCAGACAACGAGGUUUUAAACAAAAACAAACAAAAAACCCAGAUCUUAGAAAUAUUGUCCUCAAAGGAGAACUGAAUGUUUGAAACCCACAUGCCUGUUUUUUCAGACCACUUGACACUCAUCAUGGUGGCUGUUUUCAGACACGCUCUUUCUUGGAGUAGAGAAAAAUCUAAGCCAGUUUCCCAUUUUCUUCAGUGGAGAAGACUGAUUGCCACAUAAUGGAAAGUCACCAGCCCCUUACUUCACAAUGCACCCAUUUGGGCUAGGGGCAUCCUGUCAUAAGCAUGUUCUAUUGCUUAACCAGACAGAGGCUGCCCACUUGACCUACAAGUAAUGAGUCUGAUCUUUAUGCACCUUUCUAACCCAUAAGACGAGCUGGAAACUACUUUCUGGAUUCUUGGAUUAAGCAGCAUAGGUAAUCAGAUACAUUCUCUCUCACUGUAUUUUGUGGACCAGUCAGUCAGCAACCUUUGACUCAAGGACAGACCUUCUCAUCU